GAUGAAGAACGCAGCGAAAUGCGAUAAGUAGUGUGAAUUGCAGAAUUCAGUGAAUCAUCGAAUCUUUGAACGCACAUUGCGCCCUUCGGUAUUCCGUUGGGCAUGCCUGUUCGAGCGUCAUUUAAACCUUCAAGCUAUGCUUGGUGUUGGGUGUUUGUUCCGCCUCUGCGCGUGGACUCGCCUCAAAUUCAUUGGCAGCCGGUAUGUUGGCUUCGUGCGCAGCACAUUGCAAGCGAUUUCUACAGACCUCCUUCCAUAAGCCCUUUUUUUACUUUGACCUCGGAUCAGGUAGGGAUACCCGCUGAACUUAAGCAUAUCAAUAAGCGGAGGA
rnacentral:misc_RNA from 1 species